rnacentral:rRNA from 1 species
UACGAAGGGGGCUAGCGUUGCUCGGAAUCACUGGGCGUAAAGGGUGCGUAGGCGGGUCUUUUAAGUCAGGGGUGAAAUCCUGGAGCUCAACUCCAGAACUGCCCUUGAUACUGAGGAUCUUGAGUUCGGGAGAGGUGAGUGGAACUGCGAGUGUAGAGGUGAAAUUCGUAGAUAUUCGCAAGAACACCAGUGGCGAAGGCGGCUCACUGGCCCGAUACUGACGCUGAGGAGCGAAAGCGUGGGGAGCGAACAGG